CAGGAACUGAGCGCCGAAAUCCUUAAACUCCAGGACAAAUCACUUCAGUCACCCCUGCAACACUCUCCAUUCAGCUUCGACCCCGUUUCACCUGCGAUGCUGACACAGGUACUUAAGCACCAGAGGGAACAAGUGUCUAUGGAUGGCUGAAGACAUCAAUGGCCACCACAUUUCUGAGUAUUAUCACCACUGGGAAGACAAAGGCUAAAGGUCUUCAAUUUCUACUGACAGUAGGUGAAGUAAUCUCCAUAAGAGCUGAGCUGAAACUUCCCAGAAGGUCUCUGACAACCACAUGAUUGCCUCACCCCAUUCUGCCAUUACCUUGGUCACGAAUUUCUCUCAGGAAUUUGUCCUACUGCACAAUUCUUGCCUUUUAACUAAGCUACCUCCCACUUUCACUUUUCACAUUAUAUUUCUUGUUUGUUCAGUUGUCUCCAGGAAGUAACCUCAAACGAUAUUUUUCAAAGCCGUGUUUAAUUCCCUGGCCUCAAUUUUACAGGUUUUAUUUGUUAAGUCAUUCAUUUCAAAGUAUAAUUUCUCCGAGUCUCUAGUUUCUUCAUCUGUAAAAUGUAAGGAAUUUGGAUUUCGAUACUCCCUUCUAGCUAAAUAUUUCUAUGAUAUUUUUACUCUUCUCAUUAUUCAAAUCCAAGAGUAGUAAUUUGAGAAAUAUGAUCAAUGAGUUGCAUUCACCCCUUCACAGCUCCAGAGAACCUUCUUUUCUGUAACUUGAUACCAAACAUUUCAUAUUUUGCCCACACUGUUGGCUUUUGAAAGAGUGAAUACAGCCAGGCUUCUUUCAACAGCGCUGAAUGAGAGCAUCCAUUGUUUACCAGCAGGGCUCAAGAACCAAAUAUUCUAGUUUAACAAUUCGGAGAGAGUGACACAAGUGACAAGAUCCAUUUCUGCUUGGUUUUGGUAAUGUCAAAAAUGCCUUGGGGCAUUCAGAUCCCAGGUGUGAACAUGGCACCGCUUGGCAAGCCAUGCUGUGGUAGGAGUCCCACAUAUAAGGUAGGGGAAGAUGGGCACGGAUGUUAGCUCAGGGCCAGUCUUCCUCAGAAAAAAGAGGAGGAUUGGCAGCUGUUUAAAAAGGUGUUUUGUAUCUUGCCCUUUUAUUUGAGUGUCCUCUUCAAAGAUCAUGGGGGGAAAAGUCAUGCUUUUGGAAGACUGCUGUUUCACCUAAUCUCAGUCAUCCAGCUUCUCUUUCCACUAGAGAGAGCUGAGGCUUGAGUACCAACAAAAGAAAUGCCUUACCAUUAGGACUGUUGGGGCUCUGAAUGAGCUACCAUUCAUUUCACUUCAGAGGAAGAGACAUCUAGACUUUCCUUAUCCCUUAAAGACCUCCACAUGGACUGGGUGAAUUUUUAUUGAAUUGAUUUGUUUUCAUUUCUGAAGCUCCCUUGUUCUACCCCUUGACUGAUUUUUCUUUUUUUUUUUAAAGAUUGGCACCUGAGCCAACAUCUGUUGCCAAUCUUUCUUUUUUUUCCUUUUUGUUCUCCCCAAAGCCCC